CUCUUAAAGAUCCUUUUGCAUCCAGGCCUAAAAUACCACGUGACAUGAAUGAACCACAGUCUCGAGGACCAUCUUCAUCAACUCCGCCAUUAGCGCGAUCCAUGUCACCAACCAGAUCUUUAUCCAGUACAAGCCGACCAGGAUCUGGUCAUCGAAAAUAGAUGUUGGAAAGCGUACAGCAUCAUGUAUCUCAGGACAGACUAACAGUCUUUACGAGAGAUUUUUAAAUUAUUUCAUUCUAUAUUGAAAAAGAAAUCGUCAUCGUAUAAUUACAAAUAUCAUUAAUAAUAUAUUGUAGAUAUUUCAGUCGUUGUUAAUUACUGGUUGCCCGUGAACUUCUCCUUUUCAACCGACGARAAACCCAUCACUCUAUUUUAUGCACAAAUUGGCAGCCGCGUUAUAUGUCCAUAAGCUAGAAUCCAUACACUUCAUUCGUGAAACUAAAUAGUACGAAAUAUGUGCUAAUUCAUGGGAAUAUCUUUGUUUCCUAGAGUAAAAACACUAAACAUGUGCACUAUUUAAACAAUAGAGUAGUUGUAUGGAGGGCAUUAUGCUGUGAUAGUUGCCCUUGUAAACUGGAUGUUUUGAAAAACCAGUUUACAAAGGCAAACAGCAUAGCAUAAUGGCCUCGGUUCAACAACUGUAAUGUUUUUAUUCUAUUAGUCAACAUCAAAAUUUUCUGAAGAAGCGGGCUUCGUGCACUGAUAGGGGGCAUUAUUGGGCAUUAUCGGGUCACGUGGUCGACUCUCCACCAAUGAGAGUGGAGGGAAAUUUGUUGUUGAAUUAUAAUCAUAACUGACUGUUUGCUUCACGGAAUAUAGGAAAAGCAUCAAACCCGCGAAAUAAGGAUGGGAUAGAAGAGCCAAACUCUUUGAUUUAGAAACCUUCAGGGAAAAGAAAACAAGAGUUUACCCUACUACCUAAGGGACCGUAUGUCAUGUAUGCAGACGGUGUAGUGUCUAAUAGGCACAUACAUUGGUUUCUAUUAAUCCCUUCUAUUAUGCACAGUCUUUUCGUCGUAUCAUUAGAGGGAAGUCAAAAAACCGUGAAACCGUACGUCUUAGUUCACUCUUAUUUCAACAGCACCCUGUUUCACGGGUUCUUAUUAUGAAAUGUAGUUUAGGGAUGGUGGAUAAAAACGUAAAUGGGACUAUAAACUAGCGCUUUUCUUGCACCACCAWUAAUAAUUUCCAGACUGAUAAUGGUAAAAAUAUCAACAAGGUUCACAAUAAAUUACUCAUUCAAAAUA